rnacentral:rRNA from 1 species
GACGUAGGGCGCGAGCGUUGUCCGGAAUUAUUGGGCGUAAAGAGCUCGUAGGCGGCUUGUUGCGUCGACUGUGAAAACCCGCGGCUCAACCGUGUGGCUUGCAGUCGAUACGGGCAGGCUAGAGUUCGGUAGGGGAGACUGGAAUUCCUGGUGUAGCGGUGAAAUGCGCAGAUAUCAGGAGGAACACCGGUGGCGAAGGCGGGUCUCUGGGCCGUGUGCUGACGCUGGAGGAGCGAAAGCGUGGGGAGCGAACAGG